rnacentral:rRNA from 1 species
AUUGAACGCUGGCGGCAGGCCUAACACAUGCAAGUCGAGCGGAGCGGCGGCGGGGUGAGUAUUGCCUAGGACUCUGCCUGGUAGUGGGGGAUAAGGUCCGGAAACGGGCGCUAAUACCGCAUACUCUCAGCUGAGCCUAGGUCGGAUUAGCUAGUGGGUGGGGUAAAGGCACACCAAGGCGACGAUCCGUAACUGGUCUGAGAGGAUGAUCAGUCACACUGGAACUGAGACACGGUCCAGACUCCUACGGGAGGCAGCAGUGGGGAAUAUUGGACAAUGGGCGAAAGCCUGAUCCAGCCAUGCCGCGUGUGUGAAGAAGGUCUUCGGAUUGUAAAGCACUUUAAGCGGGGAGGCGUUACUAGCAGAAUAAGCACCGGCUAACUUCGUGCCAGCAGCCGCGGUAAUAC